rnacentral:rRNA from 1 species
AUUGAACGCUGGCGGCAUGCCUUACACAUGCAAGUCGAACGGUAACGCGGGGCAACCUGGCGACGAGUGGCGAACGGGUGAGUAACGCAUCGGAACGUGCCCAGUAGUGGGGGAUAGCCCGGCGAAAGCCGGAUUAAUACCGCAUACGACCUACGGGUGAAAGGGGGGGAUCGCAAGACCUCUCGCUAUUGGAGCGGCCGAUGUCAGAUUAGGUAGUUGGUGGGGUAAAGGCCCACCAAGCCUUCGAUCUGUAGCUGGUCUGAGAGGACGACCAGCCACACUGGGACUGAGACACGGCCCAGACUCCUACGGGAGGCAGCAGUGGGGAAUUUUGGACAAUGGGCGCAAGCCUGAUCCAGCCAUGCCGCGUGCGGGAAGAAGGCCUUCGGGUUGUAAACCGCUUUUGUCAGGGAAGAAACGCUCUGGGCUAAUACCUCGGGGUAAUGACGGUACCUGAAGAAUAAGCACCGGCUAACUACGUGCCAGCCGCCGCCGUAA